rnacentral:rRNA from 1 species
AGUGAACGCUGGCGGUAGGCCUAACACAUGCAAGUCGAACGGCAGCACAGUAAGAGCUUGCUCUUACGGGUGGCGAGUGGCGGACGGGUGAGGAAUACAUCGGAAUCUACUUUUUCGUGGGGGAUAACGUAGGGAAACUUACGCUAAUACCGCAUACGACCUACGGGUGAAAGCAGGGGAUCUUCGGACCUUGCGCGAUUGAAUGAGCCGAUGUCGGAUUAGCUAGUUGGGGGGGUAAGGGCCCACCAAGGCGACGAUCCGUAGCUGGUCUGAGAGGAUGAUCAGCCACACUGGAACUGAGACACGGUCCAGACUCCUACGGGAGGCAGCAGUGGGGAAUAUUGGACAAUGGGCGCAAGCCUGAUCCAGCCAUACCGCGUGGGUGAAGAAGGCCUUCGGGUUGUAAAGCCCUUUUGUUGGGAAAGAAAAGCAGCAGGUUAAUACCCCGCUGUUCUGACGGUACCCAAAGAAUAAGCACCGGCUAACUUCGUG